rnacentral:rRNA from 10 species
GCUUACGGCCAUACCACCUUAGGCGUGCCCGAUCUCGUCUGAUCUCGGAAGCUAAGCAGGGUCGGGCCUGGUUAGUA